rnacentral:rRNA from 1 species
UACGAAGGGUGCAAACGUUGCUCGGAAUUACUGGGCGUAAAGCGCGUGUAGGCGGCCAAGCAGGUCGGAUGUGAAAUCCCUCGGCUCAACCAAGGAAGUGCAUUCGAAACCGCAUGGCUGGAGUCCCGGAGAGGAAGGUGGAAUUCUCGGUGUAGAGGUGAAAUUCGUAGAUAUCGAGAGGAACACCGGUGGCGAAAGCGGCCUUCUGGACGAGGACUGACGCUGAGACGCGAAAGCGUGGGGAGCAAACAGG